UACGGAGGGUGCAAGCGUUAAUCGGAAUUACUGGGCGUAAAGCGCACGCAGGCGGUUUGUUAAGUCAGAUGUGAAAUCCCCGGGCUCAACCUGGGAACUGCAUUUGAAACUGGCUGGCUAGAAUCUUGUAGAGGGGAGUAGAAUUCCAGGUGUAGCGGUGAAAUGCGUAGAGAUCUGGAAGAAUACCGGUGGCGAAGGCGGCCCCCUGGACAAAGACUGACGCUCAGGUGCGAAAGCGUGGGGAGCAAACAGG
rnacentral:rRNA from 1 species